AUUUUCUGGAACAGAUUAUUAACAUUACAAGGGAGUUGCCUGGUAGUCAGAGAUCCCUGCGAUGGUGGAGCUGAUAUUCUAGAGCAACGUGGAGCUUUGCUGGAGAAAUACAAGAGAUGAGGAGCAUAGAUGGUGAUGGCAUCGAAGAAGCAAGGACGUUGGGAAGAAAAUCAUACAGAAAUAAUGAUGGUGGGAAAUAACAAGCUACAUAAAUCAUAUACAGAUUGCUGUCAAGUUGAAAUGUUGCUAAAAACUAUGUACCUCCUAACCAG